CAGGGUCAUACAGCUGGUAAGUGUUUGUACCACCUAGCUGCCCUCCGUUAGGAAGGACAUUGACAAAUUGAGGUGUCCAGAGGAGGGCCCAGAGUCCAUGCUAUCUGAGGACCUGGGGAUGUUGACUCUUCAGAGUCAAAGGCUAAAGGGGAUGAUGUGAGACCUGCCUUCCAAUAUUUAUAGGACUGUCAUGUGUGGGGGGGGGGUGGUCAGACUUGUUCUGACCCUCUCCCACAAGGCGAAUCAGAGAGCUAUGAAAAUCGCCCAGGCUGAUGUAAGCGCGAUAAAAGAGAAAACCUCCCAGCGAUGAAGGAAGCUGUGGUGAAGGGCCACCAGAAGGUCUUGUCUGGGUGCUUGCAGCAGAACCAGUGUGGAGGGGCCACUCUCUUCCUGGGGGGCCUUCAAGCAGAAGCUGGAUGGAGAGGGGCUCUGCAGUAAGGCUGCUUAGGGGAGGGGAGCUGGUUUGUGGAGGGCCUUGAAUGCCAGGCUGAGUCGUUUGUGUUGUUCUGAGCUCAUAGGAGUUCUUCGGUGCGUUCGGGAAGGGUGGAGACAGAGGCUGCAGGACUUGGUUGGUGCCUUGCAUUUGGUAUUUUUCUCUUUGUUUUUUUAGAGGCUAGAGAGGAAAGGCUGCAGAUGCUCCAUCCCUCAUUUGAUGCCUCGCUUCACCUUGCUAGGCCUGGGUCACUGAGCGUCAGAAACUGCUUGUGGUUGGCUCUGCCGAGAGUCCUUUUUUUUGCCUCCUGGGCUGGCGGAGAAAGUGGUUCCUUGUCCUCCUCCUGCAGCGGGGUUUGUCCAGGCUGAAGAUCCUCUCUGCUGUCUGGAGAUGGGAGUCUCCCUUGGCAUCCAGGCUUGUCAGGAGACGCUCUCUGCAGGGCCUUGCCAGACUCCCCGCCCCACCCCAGCAGCCAUCCCCCAUCCUUCUGAUCCCUUGCUCUGGCUGUGUUCGUGUCUUCUCUUUCUUAGAACCAAACAGUUCCUCCCAGAUGCCCAUUUUUCAUGUGACAAGCCCAAAUCUGUUUGGGGGUGCCUUUGACAGAACUGUGAAACCCGGAAUCAGGAGAACCAGCAUUUACUCUCUCUGAUCUUGGUUGAGGCAGAGGGAGUGUGGCUCAGUGGCUACAGUGUCAGGACUUGGGUUUCUUCCCACUGAUGGUGCUUUCUCCCUGUGUGGCUUUGUGCGGGAACCUCACUGUCCUUGGUGAUGAAGCAGGUGGGUUGGCCCAGAGGGAGUUGGGGAGAGAGCUCAUAUUACAACCUGCGGAUUUGGGAGCCAGGGAAGCUGGCUUGAAGACCAGCUUAGAACAAUGGCCCAAAUCUAAUUAAGGUGAAAUGUAAUCAGGGCAUGCUGGUAACGGAGCACACCCAUACCCACAUGUAGUCCUGCCGAGGCUCACACAUCUCUCAGUACUGGGUGGGAGCAGCAGGAUUAGACAAGGCUACCCUAAACUCCUGGCAUCUUGGGCUAAGCAAAAUGCCUGGGACCACAGAGGGUUCCUUCCUACAAUAGGCAGAAGAUGGCACUCCUUUGGAGGCUGGGUCAACAAACUGGUGUCUGUCCAGAGGACUCACCAGGGAGUCAGGCCUUAUGGGCAGCAGUCGAAGGUAGGGAUGUGUAGCCUGCAGAACAGGACGGUCAUCUUCAGGUGUUUGAAAGGCUGUCUACGGAGCAGAGGCUGGCCUUGGUCAGCCUGCUCCCAGAGGCCAGACGAGGUCCAGGGGGGCCCAGGUUCAGCUUGUGGACCAAAUGUAGGGUUAGCGCUAUCCAGCCAUAAAGCAGAUUUCCGAGGGAGGCCACUCUGGGCUCCUUGCUGGGGGUGGCAUUCAGUGCCUUCUGCAUUAGAGUGGACUACAGCUUUCCUCUUCUCCUCCCAACCCAGAUUCUGUAGAAAACCUCAAGGAUCUAAGUUCCCUGAAGAGGAAGUUGGCAUGCCUUCUACCUCCCGUGUCACCCCACCCCGAGAGUCCGUCAGGCAGCUCGUCCCAGUUGCCCUGUCUCUGUCUCGCAUGUACAUGGGUGUUGAUUUGUGGUCUUUCCCAUUAGACUGUGAGCUCCAUGAGGGCAGGCGCGCUCUGGUUCUGCCUGUCUUUGUAGCCCCAGUGCUUAGUCCAGUGCUGGGUACACAGUUGGCACUUAAUUAUUGCUCGUCACCCGACUUCCAUCACAGUUCUCCCCAUCUACUGCUCAGUAAAGUCUCAAUUCCUUUUCUUGGCAUCUCGGGCCCUCCAUGAUUUGGCUCUGGCUGACCUUGCUAGCCUUCUCUGAGGCUGUACCCUCUCUGGGUGUGGCUCACUGCUCCUUCUGCCCUCUGUCUGCCAUGCCUGGGCUGGACUUGACGCCCCUGGGACCGUUCACAUCUGCCGCUGGUGUUCCCUCUUCCAGAAAGCUUGCUCGGAUUGCCUGCCUUCUCCAGCAAGCUCCCAGCUCCCUCCUGACCCUUUCUCUCCCUUGCACCUGUCACCUCAUGACUUAUGUCUUAUUUGUGUAUAGCAUUUCCCCCAUUGGGUGGCAAGCUCUUGGGGGCUGGGCUUUGUUUUCUUUCUCUCUCCCUCUGUGCCUAGCACAGGACUUUGUAGAGCAUAGCUGCCUGGUCAGGUUGUGGCAUUUAAUUUGGCUGCCCAGAGUCAGAGGCCCCUGACCCUCCAGGAGGUAGCCAGGGCCAGGGUCUCUUCUCUUUGGGAUCAAGGAGUCAGCUCAGCAUUUAUGCAGUACCCACUGUGCUGUGUAGAGCCCAGCCCUGCCCAAGGGACACCGAAGGAUCACUGAUGGGGACAGUGGAAUGGGGAGGGUGUGGUGUGGGCAUAAGUCAGUGUGAUACAGAAGGGAGUGUCAGGGCCAAGGACAGAGCCAGGCAGGGGGCUCAGUUAGGAUCUGAGGGAAGUGGACAUACUUGGGCCACUGGGACGAAGAGGCAGAAUUGUGAGGCAGCACGUCGAGGUCAGAACAGUUUUGUUCUUUUGUCCUUCUCAGGAGCCCAGUCCUCUGGCUCGUUCUCUCUGCUCUUCUCCAGAGCUUUUUCCAUUUCUUGUGAAGUGAAGAGUAGAAGAAUUAUGUCCAUUUUACAGAAAAGGACAUUAAGGUUUGAAGGGUGGCAGGCUCUUGUCCCUGGCUGUGAAGCUCACCCUGCCUUAACCUGGAGUGAGAAUGGGUGGCUAGCUCUGGGCUCCCAGGGAUCCUGCUGGCCUUUGUUCCCUGGUUGAUUCUUCCUGAGCCUUGCAGAGACGUAUGGAGCUGUGCCUGAGAUGUGCUGGCCUGCCGUCCUGUGUGUUCAGGACAUGGACAUCAUUAAUUUCUGCUUGAGCAGCUAGAAUUAUUCAGGGCAGCUUUUACUUAAAAGGAAAAGCCAGUGAAUCUGCACUCUGAUUGGAGAGAGAGGCUGGGGUGGAGGCCUGGAGGCUGGGAAUUUUUCAGAGGUAGGAAGAUGCAGGGAGAGCCAGUUUGGUCCCAGCUUGGUGCCUGGGCUGUCUGCUCGGCUGCCUCCCCCACCUAGGCUGAAGAUUUGAUUGGUUUGGGGAAGGUCUGUGCCUUCAGUCACUGUGCAGUGGCUGGGCGCCUUCUCUCGGACUUGCUUCUGUUCCUCUAUUGGUUAUAUUUCUUCCUUGCCCUGGUGCGUCCUGGGGUGCACAUGCCACCCAGCCCCCUGGCAUCUUCCCGGCCACUCCUGUGGUGACCUGCCGUCCUCCAGCCCCUGGCUUCAGCCUGUGCUUGUCAUGGCUUUUUUUGUCAACUCAAUUCUUCUUUGGUAGAAUGGGUCUAUUUUUAAAAAAUUAUUAUUUUUGUUAUUUUGUUAUUUUUUUAAAUUAAAAAAAUUUUUUUGAAUGGG